rnacentral:lncRNA from 1 species
AAUUUUUGAAAGUAAUAGAGAGAAACUGAGGCAUAAAAUUUACCUGAAAGCAGUCCUGUUUAAAUUGGACAAAAUAAUUACCUUUUCUUACAUCCCUCUUUUAGAGUUUUCCUAAUAUCAUUUAAUACAUAGAUAGUACUAGAAAGAAAAAGACAUUUUAAAUUAAGACCAAUGUGAAGCAUUAUACCCAUUUAGUAUCAUUUUGCCCAUUACCCUUAUAGAAACUAAAAAUAGAAUGAGUGCUCAGAGUUUGUACUGUAACUGCCUGCCACUUACAUGGGAUAACUAUUUUUAGUUCCAUCGUCCUUAUUAAAGGCUUUCAUUAUGAGUUCAUUUAUGGAAAUGUUAUCUCACAGAGUUUUUUUUGGAGACUUUUCUGAGAUCUCAAAAUGAGGUCUCAGAAACAUGAUUAGAACAUAGUCAUUUAGUUUCCCAGCAAAUGCUGAUCCUUUCCAGGAAAGUUCUAUAAAUAAGGAACCAAAGCUGGUUGUCAGUAAUUUGAAGUAGCUGGGUUGGACCGUGAAUAUUAAUAUGUAAAUUAUAGCUUGUGCCAUCUAUACACAACCAGGAUUGUAUGCAUAUCUUCCCAUGGUUUAUUUUAAGUCUGAAUUUGCAUACAAACACUGGUCUAAUUGAGUUUUUAAAAAAAAUUCUUAAGAGAUGCCAUGUGUUACUUAAAGAUGUUUUGUUUUGAAACUUUGUGAUAGGUAAGAUCCACUAAUGUUUCUCUAUUUGAAGGAGUGAUUUUAAUUCAGAAGUAUAUUGGAAAAGUGAAAGAAUUCCUAGAGAAAAGUUAAUCCCAGACAAGAUAGUGAAUGACAUAUAGUUUAUUAUCCAGUGACCUUUAGCACAACAACUACACAUAUGCGCAAGCGUAACUGCUGGGCUGCUCUGGAGUUCGCCAGAAACCCCUUGCCCUUAGUUUGAAGGAGGGAAAGAAAUAUCUGUAAUUAUUGCUCUAUAUCCUUUGCUUUUGACAUAAUUGAUUCUCUGGCAUUUAAAAUUUAUAUCCACUCGCCCAUAGGAUUCUUUUAACUCUUUCAUUGUUUAUUUCCUUGUAUAAGAACAGGUCUGCUAGUCAGAGAGAAUGUUGAGUAUCUUUCAUAAUCCUUGUCUUUAUGGGACCAAACAUUUCUGCCUUGUGCUAGAAAGAUUUUUCAGCCCAGCCCCAGGCAACCACCAUUCAUUCUACUCUCUGCUUCUAUGAGUUUGACUAUUUUAGUUACCUCACAAAUGCUUUUGCUGCAUUUGUUUUGUAUUUUAAUUACACCGUUUGAUGGCAAUGCUAGAAAUUUAGGAGCUACAGCUCCUCUCUAACAUGAAUGCUAUCUUGUCAAUGCCUUCAGAAGAAUAAAGAUCAUAAUUCUUUCUUUUACAUUGUGAUUUCUAUAAGAAUAGUUUCCUAUCUUCCUGGAUCUAGAUGGAAGAUAUUAACUUUCAGACUAACUGUUCACUGGACAAUUUUUCUUUCAUUAUUCCUAAGGUCUUUAUUGUACAUAUGAUGGUGUCUCCAAUAGUUAAAUAUGCCUC